UACGGGGGGGGGCAAGCGUUGUUCGGAAUUACUGGGCGUAAAGGGUUCGUAGGUGGCCAACUAAGUCAGACGUGAAAUCCCUCAGCUCAACUGGGGAACUGCGUCUGAUACUGGUCGGCUUGAGUGCAGGAGGGGAACGCGGAAUUCCAGGUGUAGCGGUGAAAUGCGUAGAUAUCGUAAGGAAGACCAGUGGCGAAGGCGGCCAUCUGGAUCAACACUGACGCUGAGGCACGAAAGCGUGGGGAGCAAACAGGG
rnacentral:rRNA from 1 species